UGCCGGGCGGAGCGAGCAUGAAGGACCGAACGGGGGAGCUCCGCGCGGCUAAGGACAGCGAUGAUGAUGAUGAAGUCACCGUUAGCGUGGACCGGGAUCGCUUCAUGGAUGAGUUCUUUGAACAGGUGGAAGAAAUUCGAGGGUUCAUCGAUAAAAUUUCUGAGAAUGUGGAGGAAGUGAAGAGGAAGCACAGUGCUAUUCUUGCGUCCCCCAACCCAGAUGAGAAAACAAAGGAGGAGCUCGAAGAAUUAAUGUCUGACAUCAAAAAGACAGCAAACAAAGUGCGCUCCAAGUUAAAGAGUAUUGAACAGAGUAUUGAACAAGAGGAAGGAUUGAAUAGAUCAUCUGCUGACCUGAGGAUAAGGAAAACGCAGCAUUCCACAUUGUCGCGCAAGUUUGUGGAGGUGAUGUCUGAGUACAACGCCACCCAGUCUGACUACAGGGAGCGCUGCAAAGGGAGGAUUCAAAGACAGCUGGAAAUCACUGGCAGGACCACAACCAGCGAGGAGCUGGAAGACAUGCUGGAGAGCGGGAAUCCAGCCAUCUUCUCCUCCGGGAUCAUCAUGGAUUCCAACAUCACCAAGCAGGCGCUGAACGAGAUCGAGACGCGGCACAGCGAGAUCAUCAAGCUGGAGACCAGCAUCCGGGAGCUGCACGACAUGUUCAUGGACAUGGCCAUGCUGGUGGAGAGCCAGGCCCCUUCCUGACCCCUCUUCUUGCCUGACAUGCUGCCGCCAACCCCUUGGAUGAGCGUGUCUCAACCAGCAGGGGGAGCAGUGACCAUGGUGGAGUGGGAAGCCCUUGCAUUCGCACUGUAGAGUGUAAAGUGCUGGGAAGGACCCUGGCGUGCGCUGCAGAUGGUGCAGGAUGAGAGCAGGCAAGUAAGGGGAGCAGGUGGGGGACAGGUGACUGGAAUUAAUGUCUGUCUGUCUGUGUGUCCUCGCUGUCCUUCUCUGCCUCUGUGUGGUCUCUGGCUUGGCUGUCUGUCUGUCUCCCGUGCUGCGCAGGGCGAGAUGAUUGACCGCAUUGAGUACAACGUUGAGCACUCUGUGGACUACGUGGAGCGGGCUGUGUCUGACACCAAAAAGGCUGUUAAGUACCAGAGCAAAGCCAGGCGGAAGAAGAUCAUGAUCAUUAUCUGCUGCGUGGUCCUGGGCAUCGUUAUUGCCUCCACCUUCGGCGGCAUUUUCGGAUAGACCUUGCCAAGGCGAAACUUUCUCUGUAGACAAUGCGAUGGAGCUGCCGAGCUGUCAGGGCCCAGCCGCGCCCAAGGGGGACCAAGCCCUGCAGCCGCCAGGGAGGGGCCUUCCCAGCAGAAUUUCAGUUUCUAAUGCAUGAUCGUUUUGUAACACUG